GACGAACGCUGGCGGCGUGCUUAACACAUGCAAGUCGUACGGUAAGGCCCUUUCGGGGGUACACGAGUGGCGAACGGGUGAGUAACACGUGAGUAACCUGCCCACAACUUUGGGAUAACGCUAGGAAACUGGUGCUAAUACUGGAUAUGUGCUCCUGCUGCAUGGUGGGGGUUGGAAAGCUCCGGCGGUUGUGGAUGGACUCGCGGCCUAUCAGCUUGUUGGUGGGGUAGUGGCCUACCAAGGCGGCGACGGGUAGCCGGCCUGGGAGGGUGACCGGCCACAUUGGGACUGAGAUACGGCCCAGACGCCUACGGGAGGCAGCAGUGGGGAAUAUUACACAAUGGGCGCAAGCCUGAUGCAGCAACGCCGCGUGCGGGAUGACGGCCUUCGGGUUGUAAACCGCUUUCAGCAGGGACGAAGCUUUUUGUGACGGUACCUGCAGAAGAAGCACCGGCUAACUACGUG
rnacentral:rRNA from 1 species